GUCUCUUUGCACCCUGUCACCCUUCAUCCACCACCCCCCCCUGUCUUGAACACAGUAGAUCUUGGACUCACAUCAACACCUGGGAGCUGGUUAGAGUCCUUCCUCCACCUCCUACUGACUUACUCACUCUACCAUCUUGUCACAGCACUUACACUCUUAGGGCCCCUGGGAUAUCUAUUAAUCUGACUAUAUCCUGUCACCCUUCUGGGCCAAACCAUUCUGCUGGCAGAUCCCAUGUGGGAAGAGAGUGAGCAGGGGAGGGUCCAUUCCCCAUCCUGAGGUUGUUGGUGGAAGACGUUCACAGGAUUCCUCCUUCAGAAUGGGCUUGCAUUUCCUGUACACACAGCGAUGGCUGGGCAUCCUGGAAGUGGGGCAGGCAGCUGAAGAACAGAGAAGCAAGGUUUCCACCUCACCCUACCGUACACAUGCUUUGGACUUUGGAAUCGAAGUUCAGGGGGCAUCUUAGACCUGCCAGUUUGAGGACGGACUCAGUCAAGAGGCACAGCGGGGGCCCCUGUGCAGGAUGCUCAUACCGGGCUAAAGAGACGAGCACUCAUGCGAGGUGGGAUGUUACAAAGGUCCCUACAUCUCUUGGUGCUACCCUUGAGAACCGGACCCAGGCCUACAAAGCUCCUCCAAACCCAGACAAUAGAGUCCUUCAAUGCCCAGCUUCAAAAAUGGGGAGGUAAUAAAGGUAACAGGUGGACGGACAGUCCCUUGCAAUGAUGCGAGAGAGCUGGGCUCUGGCUAACUUCGGUCGCCUAGCAACCCUAACAGACAGACAGCCUGGCCAGUCACCGUUGGCCGUUGAUAUCCACCUGCUUCCUGAAGCUAGAGGGAGCCACAAAUCAAGUGCUGCCCCACCCGGCCUCCACUCUCCCUGCCACCAACACCUGACCUUCUUCAAGCCCCUAAAGAGGCAGCUGGGUGACCACUGCUUCUCACCUCGCCCUUUGCCCUCCACCUGAGACCCAUUCUGCAGCUUAAUCUGUGACAUUUAACAUAAAUAGUUUUCUAUUCC
rnacentral:lncRNA from 1 species